UACGUAGGUGGCAAGCGUUGUCCGGAUUUACUGGGCGUAAAGAGCGCGCAGGCGGUCGAAUAAGUCGAAUGUGAAAGCCCCCGGCUCAACUGGGGAGGGUCAUUCGAUACUGUCCGACUCGAAGGCAGGAGAGGGUAGUGGAAUUCCCGGUGUAGUGGUGAAAUGCGUAGAUAUCGGGAGGAACACCAGUGGCGAAGGCGACUACCUGGCCUGUUCUUGACGCUGAGGCGCGAAAGCUAGGGGAGCAAACGGG
rnacentral:rRNA from 1 species